AGUGAACGCUGGCGGUAGGCCUAACACAUGCAAGUCGAACGGCGGCACAGUAAGAGCUUGCUCUUACGGGUGGCGAGUGGCGGACGGGUGAGGAAUACAUCGGAAUCUACUUUUUCGUGGGGGAUAACGUGGGGAAACUUACGCUAAUACCGCAUACGACCUACGGGUGAAAGCAGGGGAUCUUCGGACCUUGCGCGAUUGAAUGAGCCGAUGUCGGAUUAGCUAGUUGGCGGGGUAAAGGCCCACCAAGGCGACGAUCCGUAGCUGGUCUGAGAGGAUGAUCAGCCACACUGGAACUGAGACACGGUCCAGACUCCUACGGGAGGCAGCAGUGGGGAAUAUUGGACAAUGGGCGCAAGCCUGAUCCAGCCAUACCGCGUGGGUGAAGAAGGCCUUCGGGUUGUAAAGCCCUUUUGUUGGGAAAGAAAAGCAGCAGGUUAAUACCCCGCUGUUCUGACGGUACCCAAAGAAUAAGCACCGGCUAACUUCGUG
rnacentral:rRNA from 1 species